rnacentral:tRNA from 1 species
GCUAUCGUAGCUUAAUCAAAGCACGACACUGAAGAUGUCAUGAUGGCCAUUGAGCCGGCCCGAAAGCA